UACAGAGGGUGCAAGCGUUGUUCGGAAUUAUUGGGCGUAAAGGGUGCGUAGGCGGUGAUGUAAGACCGAUGUGAAAUCCCCCGGGCUUAACCUGGGAACUGCAUUGGUGACUGCAUUGCUGGAGUAUGGCAGAGGGGGGGUGGAAUUCCACGUGUAGCAGUGAAAUGCGUGGAGAUGUGGAGGAACACCGAUGGCGAAGGCAGCCCCCCUGGGCCAAUACUGACGCUCAUGCACGAAAGCGUGGGGAGCAAACAGG
rnacentral:rRNA from 1 species